rnacentral:Y_RNA from 1 species
GGCUGAUCCAAAGGUUAUCUCAAUGGAUGGUUCACAAUCAGUUACAGAUUGAACUCCUGUUCUAUACCUUCCUUCCUCCUCACUACUGCACUUGACUAGAGAUAG